ensembl:snRNA Rnu6-181 RNA, U6 small nuclear 181
GGGCUCACUUUGGCAGUCCAUAUACCAACAUUGAACCGAUACAGAGAAGAUUAGCAUGGCCACUGUGCAAGGAAGACACACAGAUUUACAAAGUAUUCCAUAUAUUU